GCCAGUGUGGUGUAGUGGUUUGAGCAUUGGACUAUGACUCUGGAGACCAGGGUUCGAAUCCCUAUUCAGCCA